UACGUAGGGUGCAAGCGUUAAUCGGAAUUACUGGGCGUAAAGCGUGCGCAGGCGGUUGUGUAAGACAGAUGUGAAAUCCCCGGGCUUAACCUGGGAACUGCAUUUGUGACUGCAUCGCUGGAGUGCGGCAGAGGGGGAUGGAAUUCCGCGUGUAGCAGUGAAAUGCGUAGAUAUGCGGAGGAACACCGAUGGCGAAGGCAAUCCCCUGGGCCUGCACUGACGCUCAUGCACGAAAGCGUGGGGAGCAAACAGG
rnacentral:rRNA from 1 species